rnacentral:rRNA from 1 species
CCAAUAGCGUAUAUUAAAGUUGUUGCAGUUAAAAAGCUCGUAGUUGAAUUUCGGGGUUAGUAGAUUGGUCAUGCCUCUGGUAUGCACUGGUCUCACUGAUUCCUCCUUCCUGAUGAACCGUAAUGCCAUUAAUUUGGUGUUGCGGGGAAUUUGGACUGUUACUUUGAAAAAAUUAGAGUGUUUAAAGCAAGCUAACGCUUGAAUACAUUAGCAUGGAAUAAUGAAAUAGGACGUUCGAUCCUAUUUUGUUGGUUUCUAGGAUUGACGUAAUGAUUAAUAGGUAUAGUUGGGGGCAUUAGUAUUCAAUUGUCAGAGGUGAAAUUCUUGGAUUUAUUGAAGACUAACUACUGCGAAAGCAUUUGCCAAGGAUGUUUUCAUUAAUCAAGAACGAAAGUUAGGGGAUCGAAGACGAUCAGAUACCGUCGUAGUCUUAACCAUAAACUAUGCCGACUAGGGAUCGGAUGAUGUUAAUUUUUUAAUGACUCAUUCGGCGCCUUACG